AGAGUUUGAUCCUGGCUCAGGAUGAACGCUGGCGGUCUGCUUAACACAUGCAAGUCGAACGAACUCUUCGGAGUGAGUGGCGGACGGGUGAGUAACGCGUGAGAAUCUACCUGUGGGUCGGGGACAACCACUGGAAACGGUGGCUAAUACCGGAUGAGCCGAAAGGUAAAAGAUUUAUUGCCCACAGAUGAGCUCGCGUCUGAUUAGCUAGUUGGUAAGGUAAAAGCGUACCAAGGCGACGAUCAGUAGCUGGUCUGAGAGGAUGAGCAGCCACACUGGGACUGAGACACGGCCCAGACUCCUACGGGAGGCAGCAGUGGGGAAUUUUCCGCAAUGGGCGAAAGCCUGACGGAGCAAGACCGCGUGGGGGAGGAAGGUUUUUGGAUCGUAAACCCCUUUUGUCAAGGAAGAAGCUCUGACGGUACUUGACGAAUAAGCCUCGGCUAACUCCGUGCCAGCAGCCGCGGUAAUACGGAGGAGGCAAGCGUUAUCCGGAAUGAUUGGGCGUAAAGCGUCUGUAGGUGGCCAGCUAAGUCUGCUGUUAAAGAUCACAGCUCAACUGUGGGAAGGCAGUGGAAACUGGCAAGCUAGAGGUUGGUA
rnacentral:rRNA from 1 species